UAUUUGUCCACCUUGCCUCAGCAGAUAAGCUCAGUGCACCUUGGACCCCACGGGAAGGUUGUCAAGUGCCGCACAGGGUCUCUUUUGCGACACAGGGCGCACAAGUAAUACUCAGGUUUUUAGCAAACCUAAGGGUCGCUUACACCACCAUGCCAAACUGCCGGGCGCCAGCCUACGUGCUUCGCGCACCCCUCGUUUUGCAGCACGGACUUCCACGCACCCACGAAAGGCGAGACCAGCGUCCCCGGGCGCUCCGAGCAUCCAGGUAACAAAGGAAUCUCAAAGAGUUUGAAGCCCAAACCUGGCGAAGUUUGAUGUCUUAUAUACAGUAUGAACUACCUCGAUACAGAUCCAGCUGGAUGGCAUUUGCACAUAACGUACACAGUUAAAAUUAUAAUAGACGUAUCUGUACAUACUGUCAUCUCAGCUAAGUGGGGAAAGAAGGUGAGGCUGAACAGUCCCCUUUCAUAUAGCUGUAGCAGAAAAGAGGAAAUUUAUUUCAUUUUCAGGAGGUGCAAGCCUAGUCUUACAGUGUUAUGGUCUCAUGUUGAAAAAUGUCUCUUUUAAGAAUUGGAGGGAUUUUCAGUUUUAAGCUGUCACGAGGUCUUUAUGGAGCUGUCACUGCAGCAUGGUCAUAAAUGAGGAGAAAGAAUGAAAGUGCUGCUGUAUUUGGAAAGGGAUAACCUUACCCUCCAGCUGGACACAAGUCUGUCCAGUUGUUAUCCUUACUGGUGCGGUGUAAUUGCUGUUGUUCCAUGACAGUAGUAUUGGCUCCGUGGCAAAUUUCUUCAAGUGCAGUUCAUAUGCUUAGAAAGCUGCUUAGAAAGCUGCUAGAAACAGCUGCAGGCUGGAGAGAGGUGAAGGCAUUUGCAGAUACAUACUGGGUCGGGAGGGCAGAGAUGAAGAAUUCGUAAGAUAAGCUUGGAGGGCUUUUCAGUUGGAAGACACAAAAGAUUUCAGGAGAGUUCCUAAUAUCACGGUAGUUAGCCUAGAUAGAUAGAUAGAUAGAUGCUCAGUUACACUUCUCCUGUUUAAAUUGUGAACAUUCUGUACAUAUGCUACAGUUCAAAAUGCAUACUGUGUGUAUGUUUCGUACUGCCAAUAUUGUAAGAUGAUAUAGAUCAUAUUUUUUUGUCUUAUGAAAAUGCAGAAGACUCAAAAUAAACUUCGAACAGUAUAUACUGCAAUCUGUACUGUAUGUUAAACAUCACAGUGUGAUUUUGCUAUAUGCAGCACAUGGACAAAUGCCUGUUCUACUGGGUAGCUUUCAUGUGCACAAGGAUUUAAACUCCCAGGCUUAGACAAGAGCAGAUUCUCCAUCACUGAAACACCAGUGAGGUAUGUGUUAUAAGCGACGGCAGGAACAAGGCUUGUUUUUCCACUCACCCAGCGCUACUCAUUCUAAGGCUGUUUUCAACAGCUUUGCUCUGCUGAAAUUGCUGCUGUUGCAGUACUGCAAGUCCAUUCUUGCCUUCAGUUUAAAUGUGCAUGAAGUAUCUCCGUCAAAAAAAUUCUAUGUAUUUUUGUGAACAAUGCUAAGGAAAAAUACCCGUGGUAACAUUUUUAGUGAUUUUGAGAAACAGCAGUGGCAUCAGACUUUGAAACGGGGUCAACAAUUUAACCUCUGUCUCAAAGAUAAUCUGUCCAAAUUUAUUUAGGUUAUAAGCCCCACAAGAAGAGAGGUUUUGUAUACUCUAGUGACCCGCUGGACCUUUGGAGCUUAAUUCCAUGAAGAUGCCACUGGAACUGGGUCUGCUUCCAGCUCUUAGCUCAGCAGCUGUUUUCUGUGAAAGUGAAGCUCUGAGCUAAUAGAGAUCAGGCUGAAUUCAGGGCACCGAAACUAAAAGCCUUUUUGUUCACUGCUCUCCGUCUCCCUUCCUGCUGGAAUACAGGCAAAGGGGAAGUGCAGUGAUUUAAGCAUAGGACGAAAAGGCUAUAGACCUCUCAAAUCUCACUUCCUAGAUUUAAGACUAAUAGAUUUGAUUCUCACUUUGUGUUCUCUCCUUCGAGAACAGAUCCAUCUGCAUUUAAUGCUUUUGUAAUGCAGUGCUGCAGCCUCUCUCCCGUGACCUCCUGUGUCAAUCAUGGCUGAUCAGCCUGAGCUCUGAACAAGACCCCACAAUGAGAAGGGUGAGAAGUCCCAUGCAGCUGCCCCUGCACUUCAAAUGUCGUAGUCCCACUUCCCACUAUCAUGUGGACUGACAUGCCAAGCACAUACCUGUUAUGUGCACCAACACGGUGACUCGUAUUAUGUCAGGGAAAAGAGAAGCUGAGAAGUCUACAGGGGCAAGGGCCGGGGGAUUGGCUGGUAGAGAUGGGGAACUGAAUAGGCAAAGAGAUCAUGAAUGGGAGCCAGGGAAGGAAGUAGAAAAGAGGAUUAGGAACAGAUGAGUGGAAACUGGGGGUGAAUGAGCAAGAUGAAAUCUGGGAACCAAAGGAAAGGAGAGAAGAAGAGGAGAGUAAGAGUAGGAAAGAUUUUAAGGAGGCACGUGGCAGAACUGAUAUCGCCUCAGCGUAGUGAUUAAGAUGUGGAAUUGUGGAACUGGAAGUGAGUGGGAGUGACAGUAUGGGAGAGGAGAAGCCAAGAGGACUGAGGUCAAAACCACAGAGAAGGUUCCUACAGUUUGCAGGCUGGGUCUCAGUGGGAAAGAAGAAAGGGAUUUGCAUCAAAAAUUGACACUGGGAAAGCAUAAAAGUGAUGGACAAGAGGAUCAAGAGAAGAAGGUAUCAACAGAAGAAGCUACAUCUUCCUGGCUGCAGUUUUUGUCUGAGAUAGUACAGUUGCAAAGGGCCUCAAAAGACACGGUCACAUUUCUCCUUACUGCCAUAUGUGCCACAAGACAUGCAAUCCUAUGCAUUUCCCUUCUAUAAUAUCUAACAGUCAUGUGGUCACAGUGAGAACCAGUUACUUCCUAAUCCAGCAGAAAACUCAAUCACCGAAGGAGAAGAAGGAAUAGCAUGCUGCGAGAUAAGCCUUUGAUUCAACUCAUCCUGAAGCCAUACAGUCAUUAGCUUGUGCAAGGAAAUGGGCUGGCAGUCUAAGAUGUGGAGUAUGGGAAAAUGAGACAUCCUAUUCUGGGAGAUAAAUGAAAGGGGACUGUGCUACAAUGUGAAGCUUUUCAGCCCUGGUGAUACUCAGAGAAAUGCUACUAUGAUGCCACGUGGGAGAAUUUUCACAUUUUCUCUCUGACUUUUUAAUGAGAAAAUGUUAAUUAUAUAAUGUCCUGGUUUCAGCUGGGAUAGAGUUAAAUUUCUUCGUAGUAGCUAGUAUGGGGCUAUGUUUUGGAUUUUUGCUGGAAACAGUGGUGAUAAUGUGGAGAUGUUUUAGUUGUCAAGGGCUGGUCAAGGACUUUUUCAGCUCCCCAUGCUCUGCCGGGUGCACAAGAAGCUGGGAGGGGACACAGCCAGGAUUGCUGACCCCAACUGACCAAAGGGAUAUUCCAUAUCACAUGACGUCAUGCUCAGCAUAUAAAGCUGGGGGAAGAAGAAGGAGUGAUGGCGUUUGUCUUCCCAAGUAACUGUUACGCGUGAUGGAGUCCUGCUUCCCUGGAGAUGGCUGAUUCCUGCCCAUGGGAAGUAGUGAAUGAAUUCCUUGUUUUGAUUUGCUUGCAUGCAUGGCUUUUGCUUUACCUAUUAAACUGUCUUUAUCUCA